UUAAGCGACUAAGCGUACACGGUGGAUGCCCUGGCAGUCAGAGGCGAUGAAGGACGUGCUAAUCUGCGAUAAGCGUCGGUAAGGUGAUAUGAACCGUUAUAACCGGCGAUUUCCGAAUGGGGAAACCCAGUGUGAUUCGUCACACUAUCAUUAACUGAAUCCAUAGGUUAAUGAGGCGAACCGGGGGAACUGAAACAUCUAAGUACCCCGAGGAAAAGAAAUCAACCGAGAUUCCCCCAGUAGCGGCGAGCGAACGGGGAGCAGCCCAGAGCCUGAAUCAGUGUGUGUGUUAGUGGAAGCGUCUGGAAAGGCGCGCGAUACAGGGUGACAGCCCCGUACACAAAAAUGCACAUAUUGUGAGCUCGAUGAGUAGGGCGGGACACGUGGUAUCCUGUCUGAAUAUGGGGGGACCAUCCUCCAAGGCUAAAUACUCCUGACUGACCGAUAGUGAACCAGUACCGUGAGGGAAAGGCGAAAAGAACCCCGGCGAGGGGAGUGAAAAAGAACCUGAAACCGUGUACGUACAAGCAGUGGGAGCACGCUUAGGCGUGUGACUGCGUACCUUUUGUAUAAUGGGUCAGCGACUUAUAUUCUGUAGCAAGGUUAACCGAAUAGGGGAGCCGAAGGGAAACCGAGUCUUAACUGGGCGUUAAGUUGCAGGGUAUAGACCCGAAACCCGGUGAUCUAGCCAUGGGCAGGUUGAAGGUUGGGUAACACUAACUGGAGGACCGAACCGACUAAUGUUGAAAAAUUAGCGGAUGACUUGUGGCUGGGGGUGAAAGGCCAAUCAAACCGGGAGAUAGCUGGUUCUCCCCGAAAGCUAUUUAGGUAGCGCCUCGUGAAUUCAUCUCCGGGGGUAGAGCACUGUUUCGGCAAGGGGGUCAUCCCGACUUACCAACCCGAUGCAAACUGCGAAUACCGGAGAAUGUUAUCACGGGAGACACACGGCGGGUGCUAACGUCCGUCGUGAAGAGGGAAACAACCCAGACCGCCAGCUAAGGUCCCAAAGUCAUGGUUAAGUGGGAAACGAUGUGGGAAGGCCCAGACAGCCAGGAUGUUGGCUUAGAAGCAGCCAUCAUUUAAAGAAAGCGUAAUAGCUCACUGGUCGAGUCGGCCUGCGCGGAAGAUGUAACGGGGCUAAACCAUGCACCGAAGCUGCGGCAGCGACACUAUGUGUUGUUGGGUAGGGGAGCGUUCUGUAAGCCUGCGAAGGUGUGCUGUGAGGCAUGCUGGAGGUAUCAGAAGUGCGAAUGCUGACAUAAGUAACGAUAAAGCGGGUGAAAAGCCCGCUCGCCGGAAGACCAAGGGUUCCUGUCCAACGUUAAUCGGGGCAGGGUGAGUCGACCCCUAAGGCGAGGCCGAAAGGCGUAGUCGAUGGGAAACAGGUUAAUAUUCCUGUACUUGGUGUUACUGCGAAGGGGGGACGGAGAAGGCUAUGUUGGCCGGGCGACGGUUGUCCCGGUUUAAGCGUGUAGGCUGGUUUUCCAGGCAAAUCCGGAAAAUCAAGGCUGAGGCGUGAUGACGAGGCACUACGGUGCUGAAGCAACAAAUGCCCUGCUUCCAGGAAAAGCCUCUAAGCAUCAGGUAACAUCAAAUCGUACCCCAAACCGACACAGGUGGUCAGGUAGAGAAUACCAAGGCGCUUGAGAGAACUCGGGUGAAGGAACUAGGCAAAAUGGUGCCGUAACUUCGGGAGAAGGCACGCUGAUAUGUAGGUGAAGUCCCUCGCGGAUGGAGCUGAAAUCAGUCGAAGAUACCAGCUGGCUGCAACUGUUUAUUAAAAACACAGCACUGUGCAAACACGAAAGUGGACGUAUACGGUGUGACGCCUGCCCGGUGCCGGAAGGUUAAUUGAUGGGGUCAGCGCAAGCGAAGCUCUUGAUCGAAGCCCCGGUAAACGGCGGCCGUAACUAUAACGGUCCUAAGGUAGCGAAAUUCCUUGUCGGGUAAGUUCCGACCUGCACGAAUGG
rnacentral:rRNA from 1 species